rnacentral:tRNA from 1 species
GGAGAGGUGGCUGAGUGGCCGAUAGCGCCGGUCUUGAAAACCGGAGUCCGGGCAACCGGACCGUGAGUUCGAAUCUCACCCUCUCCG